CGUCGAACCGCCAGGCAACCAAUUCUCCAUGCAGGUGGUUAUGGGAGCAAUUCUAACGCAGCCAAGCAUGACUAAGAGGUGGAUCCCUCCAGCAGGAUGUUUCAGAAUUCAAUAAAAGACCUUUUUCAAAUA